GGGCUCACUUCAGCAGCACAUAUACUAAAAUUGGAAUGAUACAGAGGAGAAUAGCACGGCCCCUGCACAAGGAUGACACUCAAACAAUAUUAACCUUAAAUCUAAAU
ensembl:snRNA U6 U6 spliceosomal RNA